rnacentral:rRNA from 1 species
GGUAUGCCUAACACAUGCAAGUCGUACGAGAGUUUUUAAUUCUAGUGGCGGACGGGUGAGUAACACGUGAGAAUUUACCUUUAGGAGGGGGGUAACAAUUGGAAACGAAUGCUAAUACCCCAUAUGCUUUUGAGUGAAAUGGAUUUAUAAUUAUCCGCCUAAAGAAAGGCUCGCGGCUGAUUAGCUUGUUGGUAAGGUAAGAGCUUACCAAGGCGACGAUCAGUAUCUGGUUUGAGAGGACGAUCAGACACACUGGAACUGAGACACGGUCCAGACUCCUACGGGAGGCAGCAGUGGGGAAUUUUCCGCAAUGGGCGAAAGCCUGACGGAGCAAUACCGCGUGAGGGAAGACUGCCUAUGGGUUGUAAACCUCUUUUUUCAGGGAGGAAUAAAAUGACGUGUACCUGAAGAAUAAGCAUCGGCUAACUCCGUGCCAGCAGCCGCGGUAAGACGGAGGAUGCAAGUGUUAUCCGGAAUCACUGGGCGUAAAGCGUCUGUAGGUGGUUUAAUAAGUCAACUGUUAAAUCUUGAGGCUCAACUUCAAAACCGCAGUCGAAACUAUUAGACUAGAGUAUAGUAGAGGUAAAGGGAAUUUCCAGU